rnacentral:lncRNA from 1 species
CCAGCACUUACUCGGAGCUCAGUCUAAAGCUGGUUUGUAAAAUUACCAUAUAUUAAAUUUACGAUAGGUUUAUAGCAGUGUCUCUCUGGCUGUUUAACGCUUGGAAGGACUCUUAGCAUCCAGAUGCUGUUCAGAUACGUGUAAAGAACGGCCCAUCCUUUUGAAAGCUAAAUAUU